rnacentral:rRNA from 1 species
AGACGAACCGUCCAAACGUUAUUCGGAAUCACUGGGCUUAAAGGGUGCGUAGGCGGCCGUACAAGUCGGGUGUGAAAUCCCUCGGCUCAACCGAGGAAUUGCGCCCGAAACUGUGCGGCUAGAGGAAGACAGAGGUGAGCGGAACUGGCGGUGGAGCGGUGAAAUGCGUUGAUAUCGCCAGGAACACCAGUGGCGAAGGCGGCUCACUGGGUCUUUUCUGACGCUGAGGCACGAAAGCUAGGGGAGCGAACGGGAUUAGAAACCCUAGUAGUCC